rnacentral:rRNA from 1 species
UACGGAGGGGGCGAGCGUUAUUCGGAAUUAUUGGGCGUAAAGGGCGCGUAGGCGGCUUGAUAAGUCAAAGGUGAAAUCCCUCGGCUCAACUGAGGAACUGCCUUUGAAACUGUCAGACUUGAGGCCGGGAGGGGGUAGCGGAAUUCCCAGUGUAGCGGUGAAAUGCGUAGAUACUGGGAGGAACACCGGUGGCGAAGGCGGCUACCUGGACCGGUUCUGACGCUGAUGCGCGAAAGCGUGGGUAGCAAGCAGG